rnacentral:rRNA from 1 species
CCUACGGGAUGCAGCAGUGGGGAAUAUUGCACAAUGGGCGCAAGCCUGAUGCAGCCAUGCCGCGUGUAUGAAGAAGGCCUUCGGGUUGUAAAGUACUUUCAGCGAGGAGGAAGGCGAUAAGGUUAAUAACCUUGUCGAUUGACGUUACUCGCAGAAGAAGCACCGGCUAACUCCGUGCCAGCAGCCGCGGUAAUACGGAGGGUGCAAGCGUUAAUCGGAAUUACUGGGCGUAAAGCGCACGCAGGCGGUCUGUCAAGUCGGAUGUGAAAUCCCCGGGCUCAACCUGGGAACUGCAUUCGAAACUGGCAGGCUAGAGUCUUGUAGAGGGGGGUAGAAUUCCAGGUGUAGCGGUGAAAUGCGUAGAGAUCUGGAGGAAUACCGGUGGCGAAGGCGGCCCCCUGGAUAAAGACUGACGCUCAGGUGCGAAAGCGUGGGGAGCAAACAGGAUUAGAUACCCGCGUAGUC